rnacentral:lncRNA from 1 species
ACGCUGGUUACGCACUCUUCCGUGUUAGCCAUGUAUGAGACACAGGAAUGAAGCCCUUUGGAUACUUCCUGCCUCCAACUGACUCACGGACCCACUCCAUAUGCAAAAUCAAGCCAGCCCACAGCUCGGGGCAGAACUACUGAGUUCAUGAGCUAAGUAUAGAGUGUCGGUUCUUAUCAACUAAGCAGAGGGUAGUUUGUCACACAACUCCCAGUAGCUCACACACUCUCCAGUGUCUGCUCAUUGUAGUCUUGUGAGUACUGAAACUGCCCAAUUGCUAUAGAUAAUAGUCUAAGAGAACUAAGACUUGAGAUGGAAUGCUUUCUCUCUACACUGCCAUCUUGUUUAGUUCCUGCUUUGGCUGGGACAUUCCCAAGAUUCUUUAAAGUAAUUUCAGGCUGUGGGGAGCUGGCUUGCAAGUCUGCAGUGUGGUCUGUGACACUUAUUAUAGCAACCAAAGAGUGCAGUCUUUAGUACUUUGUAGACUACAUAAUUCUUCCUGUGGACAGACCAUCAUACUCUGAUGUUUUCAUAAUUUGAAAGAAAUUUCUGCACUAAAAAGAAUUAGACAUAACAAUUUUUAAGCUAUCUUAUCUUUAGAAAUUCCUUGUCCAAUCUGUUUCCUCAUUAACACUAGGAAACACCAUUCCCAACUCCUGCCAGACCUUUAGUAGAGUUACUAAGAGGAAUGGCGCGCUUGGGCUUAGUUUUUUUGUGGGAUUUUUUUUUUUUUCAGAAAACACAUAGAUUGUCUCACGACCAAUAUUCAGUUUAAGGGCAGAUGUUUUAUUUUGAGACUAUAUAGCACUGCCUUGAUGCUCUCAGAUCUGGACACUGAAUCUCUGAGGGCGCUCCAAUGAUGAGAGUCUGACAAGGCCAGCAUCCUGCUUUCCUAAGCAUCUGAAAUGAAGGCUCUUCGGGUCCAACACCUGAGUCCUUGAGCUGACAAGACAGAAUUUGAGCUUCCAUAUUCAUCUGCUAACUCCUUCCUCCGCUGAGAAGUCUGCUUUCGUGAGGUUGCAUGGCUGACAGUCAUUUGGCUUCUUGGGCUGAUCCACAAGACCAGUAGCAUUAUGGGAAGGAGCUGGGAAGGAGCUGGGAAGGCCAGGAAGAUGCUCCUGAGCACCAGUUUCAAUGAGCAGAGGAACAACGGGCUUUAUGGACCAUUUCAUUCUGGAGUGCCAAGUAAACUAAGGUCCUUGCAGGCAGAGACAUUAUCCAGAACGUUCGGAGCAGAGGCAGUAUAAUUCACCACAUGAAAGAAAACCUUCACUAAGUUAAAAUCUUUGCUGUGCUGGGGCAUUGAAAAUAUUUGGAAAAUAAUCUUCAUUCCACAGUUUAGUAACAUCAUUCU